ensembl:misc_RNA 7SK 7SK RNA
GGAUGUGAGAGUGUCUGGCUGUGACGUCUGUCACCCUAUUGACCACCUGGGCUGACUUGGCUGAUCUGGCUAGGUGUCCCCUUCCUCGUUCCCACUGCAUGUGUGUCCCUUCUGCUGCACUUGGUCAGAGAGGAUGACCACCCACAACAGAGGAGGACUGUUUCCUGUUCUGGUCAAGGGUAUGGGAAUAGCCACACUCACCUAUUAAAACCUUGAGACAAACUCGCAAUAUAAGUGCUUUUUAUUGUCAAUACAAAUGAAAAAUAUUUGCAUUU